GACGAACGCUGGCGGCGUGCUUAACACAUGCAAGUCGAACGGAAAGGCCCUGCUUUUGUGGGGUGCUCGAGUGGCGAACGGGUGAGUAACACGUGAGUAACCUGCCCUUGACUUUGGGAUAACUUCAGGAAACUGCGGCUCAUACCGGAUAUGAGCUCCUGCUGCAUGGUGGGGGUUGGAAAGUUUCGGCGGUUGUGGAUGGACUCGCGGCUUAUCAGCUUGUUGGUGGGGUAGUGGCUUACCAAGGCUUUGACGGGUAGCCGGCCUGGGAGGGUGACCGGCCACAUGGGGACUGAGAUACGGCGCAGAAUCCUACGGGAGGCAGCAGUGGGGAAUAUUGCACAAUGGGCGGAAGCCUGAUGCAGAAACGCCGCGUGCGGGAUGACGGCCUUCGGGUGGUAAACAGAUUUCGACUGUGACGAAGCGUGAGUGACGGUAAUGGGUAAAGAAGCACCGGCUAACUACGUG
rnacentral:rRNA from 1 species